rnacentral:misc_RNA from 1 species
GAUGAAGAACGCAGCGAAAUGCGAUAAGUAGUGUGAAUUGCAGAAUUCAGUGAGUCAUCGAAUCUUUGAACGCACAUUGCGCCCCCUGGUAUUCCGGGGGGCAUGCCUGUUCGAGCGUCAUUUCACCACUCAAGCCUCGCUUGGUAUUGGGCAACGCGGUCCGCCGCGUGCCUCAAAUCGACCGGCUGGGUCUUCUGUCCCCUAAGCGUUGUGGAAACUUUCGCUAAAGGGUGUUCGGGAGGCUACGCCGUAAAACAACCCCAUUUCUAAGGUUGACCUCGGAUCAGGUAGGGAUACCCGCUGAACUUAAGCAUAUCAAUAAGCGGAGGA